AUUGAACGCUAGCGGGAUGCUUUACACAUGCAAGUCGAACGCGUGGCGGACGGGUGAGUAAUAUAUCGGAACGUGCCCAGUAGCGGGGGAUAACUACUCGAAAGAGUGGCUAAUACCGCAUACUAUUUGAACGGCGGAUAUUGGAUUCGCUAGUGGGUGGGGGAAAGGCUCACCAAGGCAACGAUCCGUAGCUGGUUUGAGAGGACGACCAGACACACUGGGACUGAGACACGGACCAGACUCCUACGGUAGGCAGCAGUGGGGAAUUGUGGACAAUGGGGGAAACCCUGAUCCAGCCAUCCCGCGUGUAUGAGAAGGCCUUCGGGUUGUAAAGUACUUUUGGCAGAGAAGCGGUAUCUGCAGAAUAAGCACCGGCUAACUACGUGCCAGCAGCCGCGGUAAUAC
rnacentral:rRNA from 1 species